UGGGGAAUUUUGGACAAUGGGGGAAACCCUGAUCCAGCCAUCCCGCGUGUGCGAUGAAGGCCUUCGGGCUGUAAAGCACUUUUGGCAGGAAAGAAACGUCAUGGGUUAAUACCCCGUGAAACUGACGGUACCUGCAGAAUAAGCACCGGCUAACUACGUGCCAGCAGCCGCGGUAAUACGUAGGGUGCAAGCGUUAAUCGGAAUUACUGGGCGUAAAGCGUGCGCAGGCGGUUCGGAAAGAAAGAUGUGAAAUCCCAGAGCUUAACUUUGGAACUGCAUUUUUAACUACCGGGCUAGAGUGUGUCAGAGGGAGGUGGAAUUCCGCGUGUAGCAGUGAAAUGCGUAGAUAUGCGGAGGAACACCGAUGGCGAAGGCAGCCUCCUGGGAUAACACUGACGCUCAUGCACGAAAGCGUGGGGAGCAAACA
rnacentral:rRNA from 1 species